GAACGCUGCCGCGUGCCUAUACAUGCAGUCGACGCUUCUUUUUCCACCGGAGCUUGCUCCACCGGAAAAAGAGGAGUGGCGAACGGGUGAGUAACACGUGGGUAACCUGCCCAUCAGAAGGGGAUAACACUUGGAAACAGGUGCUAAUACCGUAUAACAAUCGAAACCGCAUGGUUUUGAUUUGAAAGGCGCUUUCGGGUGUCGCUGAUGGAUGGACCCGCGGUGCAUUAGCUAGUUGGUGAGGUAACGGCUCACCAAGGCGACGAUGCAUAGCCGACCUGAGAGGGUGAUCGGCCACAUUGGGACUGAGACACGGCCCAAACUCCUACGGGAGGCAGCAGUAGGGAAUCUUCGGCAAUGGACGAAAGUCUGACCGAGCAACGCCGCGUGAGUGAAGAAGGUUUUCGGAUCGUAAAACUCUGUUGUUAGAGAAGAACAAGGAUGAGAGUAACUGUUCAUCCCUUGACGGUAUCUAACCAGAAAGCCACGGCUAACUACGUGCCAGCAGCCGCGGUAAUACGUAGGUGGCAAGCGUUGUCCGGAUUUAUUGGGCGUAAAGCGAGCGCAGGCGGUUUCUUAAGUCUGAUGUGAAAGCCCCCGGCUCAACCGGGGAGGGUCAUUGGAAACUGGGAGACUUGAGUGCAGAAGAGGAGAGUGGAAUUCCAUGUGUAGCGGUGAAAUGCGUAGAUAUAUGGAGGAACACCAGUGGCGAAGGCGGCUCUCUGGUCUGUAACUGACGCUGAGGCUCGAAAGCGUGGGGAGCAAACAGGAUUAGAUACCCUGGUAGUCCACGCCGUAAACGAUGAGUGCUAAGUGUUGGAGGGUUUCCGCCCUUCAGUGCUGCAGCUAACGCAUUAAGCACUCCGCCUGGGGAGUACGACCGCAAGGUUGAAACUCAAAGGAAUUGACGGGGGCCCGCACAAGCGGUGGAGCAUGUGGUUUAAUUCGAAGCAACGCGAAGAACCUUACCAGGUCUUGACAUCCUUUGACCACUCUAGAGAUAGAGCUUCCCCUUCGGGGGCAAAGUGACAGGUGGUGCAUGGUUGUCGUCAGCUCGUGUCGUGAGAUGUUGGGUUAAGUCCCGCAACGAGCGCAACCCUUAUUGUUAGUUGCCAUCAUUUAGUUGGGCACUCUAGCAAGACUGCCGGUGACAAACCGGAGGAAGGUGGGGAUGACGUCAAAUCAUCAUGCCCCUUAUGACCUGGGCUACACACGUGCUACAAUGGGAAGUACAACGAGUCG
rnacentral:rRNA from 1 species